rnacentral:rRNA from 1 species
GUCCACGCCGUAAACGAUGGGCACUAGGUGUGGGAGGUGUCGACUCCUCCCGUGCCGGAGCUAACGCAUUAAGUGCCCCGCCUGGGGAGUACGGCCGCAAGGCUAAAACUCAAAGGAAUUGACGGGGACCCGCACAAGCAGCGGAGCAUGUGGUUUAAUUCGACGCAACGCGAAGAACCUUACCUGGGUUUGACAUGUUCCUGACCGCCGUGGAAACACGGUUUCCCCUUGUGGGCAGGAUCACAGGUGGUGCAUGGCUGUCGU